UAGCGUAGGGUGCGAGCGUUGUCCGGAAUUAUUGGGCGUAAAGGGCUCGUAGGCGGUUUGUCGCGUCGGGAGUGAAAACUCAGGGCUUAACCCUGAGCCUGCUUCCGAUACGGGCAGACUAGAGGUAUGGCAGGGGAGAACGGAAUUCCUGGUGUAGCGGUGAAAUGCGCAGAUAUCAGGAAGAACACCCGUGGCGAAAGCGGCUCUCUGGAACGGUACUGACGCUGAGACGCGAAAGCGUGGGGAGCGAACAGG
rnacentral:rRNA from 1 species